UACAGAGGGUGCAAGCGUUACUCGGAAUUACUGGGCGUAAAGCGUGUGUAGGUGGUUUGCUAAGUCUGGUGUGAAAUCCCUGGGCUCAACCUAGGAAUUGCAUUUGAUACUGGCAGACUAGAGUGCGGUAGAGGAUGGUGGAAUUCCCGGUGUAGCGGUGAAAUGCGUAGAUAUCGGGAGGAACAUCAGUGGCGAAGGCGGCCAUCUGGACUGACACUGACACUGAGACACGAAAGCGUGGGGAGCAAACAGG
rnacentral:rRNA from 1 species